UACGGAGGAUGCGAGCGUUAUCCGGAUUUAUUGGGUUUAAAGGGUGCGUAGGCGGGCUUUUAAGUCAGCGGUAAACAUUCGGGGCUCAACCCCGUCCGGCCGUUGAAACUGGGGGUCUUGAGUGGGCGAGAAGAAGGCGGAAUGCGUGGUGUAGCGGUGAAAUGCAUAGAUAUCACGCAGAACCCCGAUUGCGAAGGCAGCCUUCCGGCGCCCUACUGACGCUGAGGCACGAAAGUGCGGGGAUCGAACAGG
rnacentral:rRNA from 1 species